GAUGAACGCUGGCGGCGUGCCUAAUACAUGCAAGUCGAGCGAAUGGAUUAAGAGCUUGCUCUUAUGAAGUUAGCGGCGGACGGGUGAGUAACACGUGGGUAACCUGCCCAUAAGACUAGGAUAACUCCGGGAAACCGGGGCUAAUACCGGAUAACAUUUUGAACCGCAUGGUUCGAAAUUGAAAGGCGGCUUCGGCUGUCACUUAUGGAUGGACGCGCGUCGCAUUAGCUAGUUGGUGAGGUAACGGCUCACCAAGGCAACGAUGCGUAGCCGACCUGAGAGGGUGAUCGGCCACACUGGGACUGAGACACGGCCCAGACUCCUACGGGAGGCAGCAGUAGGGAAUCUUCCGCAGUGGACGAAAGUCUGACGGAGCAACGCCGCGUGAGUGAUGAAGGCUUUCGGGUCGUAAAACUCUGUUGUUAGGGAAGAACAAGUGCUAGUUGAAUAAGCUGGCACCUUGACGGUACCUAACCAGAAAGCCACGGCUAACUACGUGCCAGCAGCCGCGGUAA
rnacentral:rRNA from 1 species